ACGGGAGGCAGCAGUGGGGAAUAUUGGGCAAUGGGGGAAACCCUGACCCAGCAACGCCGCGUGAAGGAAGAAGGCCUUCGGGUUGUAAACUUCUUUUACCAGGGAAGAAGAAAGUGACGGUACCUGGAGAAAAAGCCACGGCUAACUACGUGCCAGCAGCCGCGGUAAUACGUAGGUGGCAAGCGUUGUCCGGAUUUACUGGGUGUAAAGGGUGCGCAGGCGGGACUGCAAGUUGGAUGUGAAAUACCGAGGCUCAACCUCGGAGCUGCAUCCAAAACUGUAGUUCUUGAGUGGAGUAGAGGUAAGCGGAAUUCCGAGUGUAGCGGUGAAAUGCGUAGAUAUUCGGAGGAACACCAGUGGCGAAGGCGGCUUACUGGGCUCUAACUGACGCUGAGGCACGAAAGUGUGGGUAGCAAACAGGAUUAGAUACCCUGGUA
rnacentral:rRNA from 1 species